GACGAACGCUGGCGGCGUGCUUAACACAUGCAAGUCGAACGGAAAGGCCCUGCUUUUGUGGGGUGCUCGAGUGGCGAACGGGUGAGUAACACGUGAGUAACCUGCCCUUUACUUUGGGAUAACUUCAGGAAACUGGGGCUAAUACCGGAUAGGAGCUCCUGCUGCAUGGUGGGCGUUGGAAAGUUUCGGCGGUUGGGGAUGGACUCGCGGCUUAUCAGCUUGUUGGUGGGGUAGUGGCUUACCAAGGCUUUGACGGGUAGCCGGCCUGAGAGGGUGACCGGCCACAUUGGGACUGAGAUACGGCCCAGACUCAUACGGGAGGCAGCAGUGGGGAAUAUUGCACAAUGGGCGGAAGCCUGAUGCAGCAACGCCGCGUGCGGGAUGACGGCCUUCGGGUUGUAAACCGCUUGCGCCUGUGACGAAGCGUGAGUGACGGUAAUGGGUAAAGAAGCACCGGCUAACUACGUG
rnacentral:rRNA from 1 species